rnacentral:rRNA from 1 species
GCUCCAAUAGGAUAUAUCAAAGUUGUUGCAGUUGAAAAGCUCGUAGUCGUAUUUCUGGUGGGUUGAUGUUGGGCAUGAUGGUGAAAGCCGUUGUGCGCCAGGGCCGCCUGCCAUUUUGUGGGCUCAAGUGGCCUUGUCCUGGUUAACUCCUGGACUUGGUCGCUCCACUCCGUCACUGAGAGCAAAUUGGAGUGCUCAAA